CACGUAGGGGCCAAGCGUUGUCCGGAUUCAUUGGGCGUAAAGAGCCCGUAGGCGGUUCAGUCAGUCGGGUGUGAAAUCUCCGGGCUCAACCCGGAGGGGCCACCCGAUACUGCUGUGACUCGAGUCCGGUAGGGGAGUGGGGAAUUCCUGGUGUAGCGGUGAAAUGCGCAGAUAUCAGGAGGAACACCGGCGGCGAAGGCGGCCCUCUGGCUCGUUGCUGACGCUGAAACGCGAAAGCGUGGGGAGCAAACAGG
rnacentral:rRNA from 1 species